UUUGCGGUGGAUUGAAAUUUCUAUAACAAUACUUAUAGGAUCAUAUAUUUAUAUUAGCCAAUAGUGGGUAUCUAUAGAAAUUUCCGAUGCAAUGGAUAAACAUAUAAUUUGUUGCCUAGAGGAUGCAAUAAAUGACAAUAUUCUCUACUUCUACUCCUUUCUUUGCCUGGCAUUAAAAUGAAGGGAAGAACCUGUUAAGGUUGUAAGGCAGUGAAUAGAACUCUGCACGCCUAGUGUUUUAUCAAAAUUUCUGAAUUUCUGAAUUUCCUCCACCACUGCCUACCGCUGUCGGGCUGGGUUCUGUGCCUCAGACUGUUAGUGCAGUGCAAGAAGAAUGCAACUAUAAUUGCCACCGUUGCCGUAGAGAAAAUCACUUGCAUUAUGUUGUUGAACCGGAUGGCACCAGUAAGAAUAGGGCCACGUCCAGAAAUUAGAAGAUAUUCAUUGAAGUAUUGUGACACAGAAAGGCCCCUGAAGAGAUAAAAGCCAAGCACAAAAUUUGUCCUGAAAGCUAUUCAGGUUGCAGAACUGGAAAUCCAAGACCAGCUGAACACACAUAUGCGAAAAGGAUGCAGUACAGAGCUGCCAUGAUUGGCAAGGGUAUGGAAGCGAGAAGAGCCCCAAAUUUUCACUGAAGCAGUGGAGCCACUUCCUGUACCAAAAGCUCCAGCGAGCAAAGUUCCUAAUCCCAGCCAAUACCACAGCUAAGUACAGGAGGUGGUAUCGGGGUAGCACUGCCAUAUCUUGAUGCUGCAAUGAUUGUUCCAGUAGACUCAACAACAACAACAAAACAAGCAGCCAUCAUUGCAAAAGUAUCACCAGCAUCAAAAGUAGGGCGUCCCCAUUGAAAUGGAUAUGGAACUCUUAUCCAAAGAGCAGCACUAAGUAGCCCAGAACGAUCAGUGCAGCAACUACGUUGUGUGCUUGUAGGUUUAUUAUCACAUGCACCAUCUACUGUCAAAAUUUCUGGAUAAACCCAUACAACUGCAACAGAGAAUAGGACUGCAAAUUGAUCCAGUAUGAUUCCUCUCGAUUUCAUCAAAUAAGGAAGAAACUGCAAUAGAAUUGGUUAUGAGCAAGAUAAAACCUUAACAAAAGUAGGUAUAUUAUUUUCCAAAUUUAAGGACACAUGAUAAACGAAGGAAUAUUAUGAUGCCACUAAAUCAACAAGCAGCAAGAGUAAAAGCCAUAAAAUGGAAAGUUAAAUGAAGCCCAAAACUUUAUGUCCCUCCUAAGAACCAAUUGAGGAGGUAAUCCAUAAUUCCUCCCCAGAUUACCAUUAAUCGUGCCAAUUGAAGUAGAUCAUGAAUGCAAAUAGAGUCACCACUCACUUGAGAUAAGAAGACAAUCAUAACCAAUGCUGGAAGUCCAAUUUCAAUACAUUUUGCCAGCUAGAAGUGUCGAGAGAAAAAAUUAUGCAAAUUAAUGUCCAAAUGGAAGAAAAGGCAGCACUAUAACAUAUAGUUCCGUACAAAAUUGUUCCACCAGCACAACAAAUAAUUUAAGAGAUCAAGAAAAUAGGGCAGUACAGAUUAUAAUGAGCCAUCUGUUCAAACAAUUGGCAACAGUAGGAAUAGAGAUAAAAUUAGUCACAAAAGGGUGUUAUAAAGAAGCAAGGAGUUAAUUAAUUCAAAUCAGCUCAGUUUAUAUCAUCAAGAUUCACUGGCCUGACAACUAUAGCUAUUAAAUGAAAAUGAUUACCAAUAUUAAUUAAAAUAAAAAGGAUGUGAAGGUAUUUUAUCUUCCCUUGUAUUUCCACUCAUCAUUAACGAAUCAAAGAAAAUGUGUUACAGGAUUGUUUUGAAGCAUUUAGACUUGUCUUCGUGACUGCCUAGAAGUUAGUUCACUGGUUGGUAAACAAUUCAAACAAAUAUGAAAAAGUUUUGCUUCUCUCACCAAACUGAAAAUGUUUUCAGGAACUAUCUUGCACUUAUUAUUUUGGCUUUUACACAGGCAAUCAUCAGUUGCUGUGCAAGAAGUUUUAGCUUUCUUACUUGUGGAAAUCCAUGUGCAUAAAACCCAAGUCCAGUGAGAGUAACAAGAGGAACAGCAGCAAGAGAGCUGAGAAAUCU
rnacentral:misc_RNA from 1 species